UGGGAUGUAGUUCAGUUGGUAGAACAUUUGCCUUGCAUGUGAGAGGUCCUGAGUUCAAUCCUUAGUACCCCCC
rnacentral:tRNA from 1 species